GAUGAACGCUGGCGGCGUGCCUAACACAUGCAAGUCGAGCGGCAGCGAGGGGUGCUUGCACCCUGUCGGCGAGCGGCGGACGGCUGAGUAACGCGUGGGAACGUGCCCCAAAGUGAGGAAUAACUGCCCGAAAGGGUAGCUAAUACCGCAUAUUAUCUUCGGAUCAAAGGAUUUAUCCGCUUUGGGAGCGGCUCGCGUCGGAUUAGGUAGUUGGUGAGGUAAUGGCUCACCAAGCCGACGAUCCGUAGCUGGUCUGAGAGGAUGACCAGCCAGACUGGAACUGAGACACGGUCCAGACUCCUACGGGAGGCAGCAGUGAGGAAUCUUCCACAAUGGGCGAAAGCCUGAUGGAGCAACGCCGCGUGCAGGACGAAGGCCUUCGGGUUGUAAACUGCUUUUAUAAGCGAGGAAUAUGACGGUAACUUAUGAAUAAGGAUCGGCUAACUGCGUG
rnacentral:rRNA from 1 species